AGUAACGCGUGGGUAACCUGCCUCAUACAGGGGGAUAACAGUUAGAAAUGGCUGCUAAUACCGCAUAAGCGCACAGCAUCGCAUGAUGCAGUGUGAAAAACUCCGGUGGUAUGGGAUGGACCCGCGUCUGAUUAGCUAGUUGGAGGGGUAGCGGCCCACCAAGGCGACGAUCAGUAGCCGACCUGAGAGGGUGACCGGCCACAUUGGGACUGAGACACGGCCCAA
rnacentral:rRNA from 1 species